rfam:Mycobacterium chubuense NBB4, complete genome.
AGUUCGACGGGGUCGACAUUGCGGGUCACGACGAGGUAGUCGCGCAGCGCGAUGCCGUGGCGGUUCUC